AGUAGUUCAACAUUUCAUGGAGGAAAAUCAUAGUCACGUAAUCUAAUGACAUUAACACUUUAAAAACAUCUCUCAUUUUUUCAGAAUGAAGCAUCCUAAUCCUUUUGCUAUCCUAUGAUGACACAAGGAAAAGCCAAAUCAGCAUCUGGACCAUGGGCACUACUCUGAGGAGUUUUCUGGAAGCUACGUGGCACGUGAUGAUAUCACUGGGGCAGUUAAUAGAAGCAGGUAUAGCCACUAAGGACAUUCUUUAUGGGGAUGCAUAAUUAGAGGGUAUUACAACACCCCGAUAUGGAAAGAUGACCCAUCCACACUCCAUGGGAAAAAUGCAGGCCAACACCAAUUUCAUUACUCAGCUUGAAUUGGAAGACUGGUUACUAACUGAAUCUUCAUCUGACAAAGAAAAAUCUUCUUGAAUCAGAGUAUUCAGAAGAUAAACAACUCUGAUUUAGUGUUCUGUGAGGCAAGAAGAAAUGUCUUAAAUUUUCUUUUGACAACAGCGGGGUAAAUGAAAUAAAAUAACU